GUGCUCGCUUUGGCAGCACAUAUACUAAAAUUGGAACAAAACAGAGAAGAUUAGCAUGGCCCCUGUAUGAGAAUGACACACAAGUUUGUGAAGUGUUCCAUAUGUAU
ensembl:snRNA U6 U6 spliceosomal RNA